UACGUAGCAGAGCAGCUCCCUCG
rnacentral:piRNA from 2 species